AACGAACGCUGGCGGCAGGCUUAACACAUGCAAGUCGAGCGCCCCGCAAGGGGAGCGGCAGACGGGUGAGUAACGCGUGGGAAUCUACCCAUCUCUACGGAAUAACGCAUGGAAACGUGUGCUAAUACCGUAUACGUCCUUCGGGAGAAAGAUUUAUCGGAGAUGGAUGAGCCCGCGUUGGAUUAGCUAGUUGGUGGGGUAAAGGCCUACCAAGGCGACGAUCCAUAGCUGGUCUGAGAGGAUGAUCCGCCACACUGGGACUGAGACACGGCCCAGACUCCUACGGGAGGCAGCAGUGGGGAAUAUUGGACAAUGGGCGCAAGCCUGACCCAGCCAUGCCGCGUGAGUGAUGAAGGCCCUAGGGUUGUAAAGCUCUUUCACCGGUGAAGAUAAUGACGGUAACCGGAGAAGAAGCCCCGGCUAACUUCGUGCCAGCCGCCGCAGUAAAAC
rnacentral:rRNA from 1 species